rnacentral:rRNA from 1 species
UGGGGAAUAUUGCACAAUGGGCGCAAGCCUGAUGCAGCGACGCCGCGUGGGGGAUGACGGCCUUCGGGUUGUAAACCUCUUUCAGCAGGGACGAAGCGAAAGUGACGGUACCUGCAGAAGAAGCACCGGCCAACUACGUGCCAGCAGCCGCGGUAAUACGUAGGGUGCGAGCGUUGUCCGGAAUUACUGGGCGUAAAGAGCUCGUAGGUGGUUUGUCGCGUUGUUCGUGAAAACCGGGGGCUUAACCCUCGGCGUGCGGGCGAUACGGGCAGACUAGAGUACUGCAGGGGAGACUGGAAUUCCUGGUGUAGCGGUGGAAUGCGCAGAUAUCAGGAGGAACACCGGUGGCGAAGGCGGGUCUCUGGGCAGUAACUGACGCUGAGGAGCGAAAGCGUGGGGAGCGAACAGGAUUAGAUACCCUGGUAGUCCACGCCGUAAACGGUGGGUACUAGGUGU